GGAUGUGAGUGUGAUCUGCCUGUGACAUCUGUCUCCCCAUUGACUGCCAGGGUUGAUUCUCCUGAUCUGGCUGGCUAAGCGGCUGUCCCCUUCCUCCCUCACCACUACAUGUGUUUCCCUCCCAAAGCUGCGCGCUCAGUGGAAGAGGAUGGCCUUCCCUGAAUAGAGAUGAACCAGUCUUCAGUUGAGGGUGGGUAUACGAGUAUCUGUGCUCCCCUGCUAGAACCUCCAAACAAGCUCUCAAAAAGAUCUGUGUCUACCUAUGUUCGUAACAGCACAAUUUGUAAUAGCCAAAACCUGGAAGCAAUCUAGGUGUCCCACAACAGAUGAGUGGCUGAGUAAGUU
rnacentral:snRNA from 1 species